rnacentral:hammerhead_ribozyme from 1 species
ACUAGUUGACGAGUCCCAAAUAGAACGAAGUGCGCGUCCUGGAU